rnacentral:misc_RNA from 1 species
AACGCACGAGACCUGCGGACCUGCGGAAGGAUCAUUACCGAGUGAGGGCCCUCUGGGUCCAACCUCCCACCCGUGUUUAUCGUACCUUGUUGCUUCGGCGGGCCCGCCUCACGGCCGCCGGGGGGCACCUGCCCCCGGGCCCGCGCCCGCCGAAGACAUCAUUGAACUCUGUCUGAAGAUUGCAGUCUGAGUAGAUUAGCUAAAUCAGUUAAAACUUUCAGCAACGGAUCUCUAGAUCGG